GGACGAACGCUGGCGGCGUGCUUAACCCAUGCAAGUCGAACGGAAAGGCCCUGCUUUUGUGGGGUGCUCGAGUGGCGAACGGGUGAGUAACACGUGAGUAACCUGCCCUUGACUUUGGGAUAACUUCAGGAAACUGGGGCUAAUACCGGAUAGGAGCUCCUGCUGCAUGGUGGGGGGUGGAAAGUUUCGGCGGUUGGGGAUGGACUCGCGGCUUAUCAGCUUGUUGGUGGGGUAGUGGCUUACCAAGGCUUUGACGGGUAGCCGGCCUGAGAGGGUGACCGGCCACAUUGGGACUGAGAUACGGCCCAGACUCCUACGGGAGGCAGCAGUGGGGAAUAUUGCACAAUGGGCGGAAGCCUGAUGCAGCAACGCCGCGUGCGGGAUGACGGCCUUCGGGUUGUAAACCGCUUUCGCCUGUGACGAAGCGUGAGUGACGGUAAUGGGUAAAGAAGCACCGGCUAACUACGUG
rnacentral:rRNA from 1 species